UUCCUAUUUUAGAAGCUGUUCAGACAUAUUGCCCUCCUACUUCUUGUGGCUUUGCCAUAUUUUAAAAGCAAUGCUGUGGUAGUUUUAGUCUAGGCCUUCCUUGGUGACUAGUUUGUAACCAAGGAAGUGGCCACGUUCCCGGUAUUCCAUACGAUUUUUAUGUACGUCAGGGUAUAAAUAAGAAGGAGAGAGAAGCCUCUUCCCUCUUCCCUUCUGGUGGACCUGAAGGCACAGGUUCUCUGCUGUCGGUCCUGCUCAUGUGGGGGAGUGAGGCCCAGUGGGGCCUUGGAGGCCUUGGGAGACGGAGGGUGCGGGUGAUCGUUUGGUGUGAUUCUGCUGUCUCAAGGAGAGUAAUUUCACAGGAAUUUAAUAUAAUUUAUAUACAUUAGAGACUGAAUGAAAAUUCUGAACAGAACAUAUUCAGAUCUAAAAUCUCAACAAUUUCCCUUGAAGUAAAAAAUUUCCUAUGUACUACAAUGUAGGGAGAACCAUUUUUCUGCAAUGUAUGAAAAAAUUACCUAUAUCUACAAUGACUACUAUCUAUCAGACAACAAAUACAGUUUUGACAUGAUGCUGUCUAUGAAGAUUAUACAAUGCAUGCCAAGGCACACAAUUAAAGGUGGUGAAACAUGCGACAUUUAUUUACCAUUUGUUAGAAGCUUAUGGAGAACUGUUGUAGUGAAGUAUGGAUAUGAGAGAAGGAAAAGGAAAGUAAAACACUCCAAACUCCCUUCAGCACCAACCCCCAGAGCAACUCUACACAGAUGUAACACAGCUGCUGCCAAAGCUUCAUCAAGAUCCUGCCUUUUAACAUUGCCCAUGGCACAACUCAGGUACUGCAGAUCAGUCAUAACUCAACUUCGAAACCAGUUACAGAAGGAAUAUCAUCUGCAACACCAAAAGGACAAAUA